AAGCCUAAGGGCCGUACUUCUAGCCACCAUUUGAUUUGCACUCAAAUAUUCACUUAAGCUUGUAAAGAGAGGUACACCCCAUAAAUGGAAUUACAACCCACCGCCUAUUAUCAGCCAUCUUUAC
rnacentral:tRNA from 1 species